UCGCUAUAACGGAGUGAAUGAUUUAGUGAGGCAUUUGGACUGGAACCGAUGAGCCUUAACGGCCCCGUUGGAUUUGGAAAGAAUGCCGAACUUGAUCAUUUCGACGAUAUAAAAGUCGUAACAAGGUUUCCGUAGGUGAACCUGC
rnacentral:rRNA from 1 species